UCUCAUCGGCUCGAGUAUGAGGACAAGGGAAGCCAUUAUUUCUUGCUUUUGUGUUCCUCACAAGUAUGACGAUAAACAUCUCCUUUUCUCUUUCUUUUCUUUUCUUUUUUGAUUUUUCCUUUUUCCUUUAAUGAAAUUUUAUCCAAAUCUGCUUAUUUUGAGUUCUAACCUUUGAAAUACCUUGGGAUGAGUAGGUGAGUAUUGCCGACAUAGGCUAUGAUGAGGUAUAUGAUGCCACUGGUGAAGUCCCAUGCAGGGGGUUGUCUGAAGAAUCAUUGAAAAAAUUAUCAUGCCAUAUUAUCUUCGAUGAAGUGGCAGCAGCACAAAGCAUCUGCUGCACAAUAUGUUUGCAGGAUAUUGAAGGUGGGGAGAUUGCAAGGAGCUUGCCCCGAUGCCAGCACACAUUCCAAUUGAGUUGUGUGGACAAGUGGCUCAUCCGACAUGGCUUAUGCCCUGUAUGCAGACAAGACGUGUAAAUUGCGUGUAGGCUAUAGUUGUACAGAAAGGGAAGAAAAAAAAAA